UCCGAGUUGACCCCGGCGGUCUCCCGUGAGUCCCCAGCACCACAAGGGCCUGCUGGCAACACGGGACAAGGGUUGCGCUCGUUGCGGGACUUAACCCAACAUCUCACGACACGAGCUGACGACAGCCAUGCACCACCUGUACACCGUCCACAAGGGAGGCCAUGUCUCCACAGCUUUCCGGCGUAUGUCAAGCCUUGGUAAGGUUCUUCGCGUUGCGUCGAAUUAAGCCACAUGCUCCGCCGCUUGUGCGGCCCCCGUCAAUUCCUUUGAGUUUUAGCCUUGCGGCCGUACUCCCCAGGCGGGGCACUUAAUGCGUUAGCUGCGGCACGGACCACGUGGAAUGCGGCCCACACCUAGUGCCCACCGUUUACGGCGUGGACUAC
rnacentral:misc_RNA from 1 species